ensembl:lncRNA
GUAUUCUCCUACUGCUCUCGUCUUAGCCAUCUCCGAAGUGGACGACAACCAAAUCGGCAAAUUUAGUUUUUAUACGAAGGAAGCCAUCCUUAAGGUAACUUACAAAUUUUUUUUUUUUGAAAAUAAACUCAAAUAAGGCAGUCUAUUCAUAUGUGCUUUUAAAAAUCAUAUUUAAUUCAUAGAAAUAUGACUCCCGUAUUUAAGAAAGGCUUCAUUUCAUAAAUAGUGAUGAUGGCCUUGCUUUAUUUGAUGUCCCAGUGCCCUGAGAAGCGCAUGUGCUGAACCAUUCUUGCGUCACAUUUUUUAAACCUACACUUGUUACUGGAGUUGUUUAGUUGAGUUUUUUAAGCCUGGUACUGUGUUUUUUUUUUUUCCCUGCCACUCAGAUUUAUUUGAUUUUAUUUAUUUAUUUAUUUUUUCAACGUUGAUCUAGUCUCAGCUUCUAAGAGCUGGCUACCGAGCACCUGUUUGCUAGUUCCUAAGACCCUGCUCCGUUCCUGAUCAUCGGGAAAACCAGAUGGAGCAAAUCAGAGCAAAGCAGGCCUGGUGGUGGCUGCUUUCCUAGACUAAAAUGCUUCCUACGGAGGGGUAAGACCCAGCCUUAUGGCUGAGUAGCCAGGAUCCCAGUGUAUCCUGCAGUUUGAUUCACAUAUUGACAUGUCGAGGGAGUGGCUGUCUCAACCCUUAACUUCACCUUUCCUUAUAGGAGAAAUUUGUAAACACUUGCACGUUUUCUUCCUUUAGCUCUUGUUCCAUUCUGGAGUGGAGAAUAUGCAGGUGACCCUGGCAUGCCAAGUUGCUCAGAAAAAUGCCCUGAUGGUGGCUGUCCGGCAGGCAUUCUUCUAUCACACUCCUCGAGGGCACUGUGCUGAGGCCAAGGAAGUAAGUUCCGAUCCGAGGACUCCCAGAAGAAGAAAUUCCAGAGCUGUCAGUGGCACGGAGAGUUUGUUGGUAUCCCCAACCCCAAAAGCCCCAGAUGUGCUCGCUCAUUCUUCAGAGAGAUUUCAGGCUUCCAAAAGGUACUUGGUGGGGGGGGAGGGGUACUGUUUCAAAUAGCAAAAGUGUCCUGUUUUAAGCCAACUAUAAUAUAAUGUUUAUAGUGGGCUUGAAGGAAUGUAGACUGAGUGGCUGGCAUGUGUUUACAACCUUAUAUGAAGACCUUGUGCAAACUCUGAGAAGGCUCAACUCCUUUUUUUUUUUUUUUUUUAAGAUUUAUUUAUUUAUUUGAAAGAGUUACACAGAGAGAGGCAGCGGCAGAGAGAGAGAGAGAGAGAGAGAGAGAGAGGGGUCUUCCAUCCAAUGGUUCACUCCCUAAUUGGCCAGAACGGCUGGAGCAGCCCCGAUCCGGAGCCAGGAGCCAGGAGCUUCUUCCGAUCUCCUACACGAGUGCAGGGGCCCAAGGGCUUGGGCCAUCUUCUACUGCUUUCCCAGGCCAUAGCAGAGAGCUGGAUUGGAAGUGGAGCAGCCAGGUCUCGAACUGGCACCCAUAUGGGAUGCCAGAGCUUAAGGCCAGGGCAUUAACCUGCUGAGCCACAGCGCCGGCCCCUCAACUCAUCUCAAUAUACUCCAGUCUGCAAAGAGAAGCCAGCAGUUCCUAACUUUACCUCUCUCCCUUUCCUCUUUCUCUUCCCUUCCUUCUUUCUUCCUCUCUGCAUAUUUUCCAAACUCCAAACAUGGCAGAGCACAAGGAAGAAGAGUUACAAGUCUCUACAGAUCUCCCAUAGCUAUCUUGAGAAGCACAGAACUGUCCUCCCUAGUCUAACAAAGGUUUUGUCUAUUAUAUGAUAGUAGAAUGGUGAGUUGGCAGAAAGUCAUGGUCUCUACAGAGAUACAUCUGUAAAUCAGGGGUGACCUAUUAUGUCUUGAUCUCUUUUAGAAAGAGAUAUUUGUAUUCCGGAGUAAUUCUGAGUAUCUUAUUGGGGCAUACCAAUGACAUUUUAAUUUAAUUCUGACAAGCUUAGAAUGAAAAAUAAUAACAGGGGCCAGCACUGUGGUGCAGCGGGUUAAAGCCCUGGCCUGAAGCGCCAGCAUCCCAUAUGGGAGCUGGUUCAAGUCCCAGCUGCUCCACUUCCUAUCCAGCUCUCUGCUAUGGCCUGGGAAAGCAGUGGAAGAUGGCCCAAGUGCUUGGGCCCCUGCACCCACAUGGGAGACCCAGAAGAAGCUCCUCACUCCUGGCAUCAGAUCAGCUCAGCUCUGGCCGUUGCGGCCAUCUGGGGAGUGAACCAGUGGAUGGAAGACCUCUCUCUCUGUCUCUACCUGUCUCUGUAAUUCUGUCUUUCAAAUAAAUAAAAUAAAUCUUUAAAAAAAAAAGAAAAA